CAAGUACUUUGUUAAAGGGCGCCAGGCUGUCCUUGGCAUGGUCCGGAAGGCAAAGUACCGGGAGCUGCUCCUAUCAGAGCUCCUGGGCCGGCGGGUGCCUGUCGUGGUGCGGCUUGGCCUCACCUACCAUGUGCACGACCUCAUUGGGGCCCAGCUAGUGGACUGCAUCUCUACCACUUCAGGAACCCUCCUCCGCCUGCCAGAGACAUGA
rnacentral:lncRNA from 1 species